rnacentral:lncRNA from 1 species
UUUUUUCUAUUGUUUUUUGAAUAUUUUAUUGAUUUCCUCUCUGAUCUUUAUGAUUUCCUUCCUUCUGCUGACUUUAGGUUUUGUUUGUUGUUCUUUUUCUCAUUUUUAGGUAGUAGGUUAAGUUGUUGAUUUGAGAUUUUUCUUCUUUUCUGAGGAAGGCCUGUAUCAUUAUGAACUUCCCUCUAAAUACUGCUUUUGCAGCAUCCCACAGAUUUUGAAUGGUUGUCUUGUCAUUUUCAUUUGUCUCGAGGUAUUUUUUAAUUUCCAUUUUGAUUUCCUAGUUGACCCAUUUGUUUUUAGUAGCAUGUUGUUUAGUCUCUAUGUAGUCAGUUUUUUCUCGUUUCUUUUCCUAUGGUUGAUUUCUGGUUUCAUGCCAUUGUGGGAAGAUACUUGAAAUAAUUUCUGUACUCUUAAAUUCACUGAGGUUAGUUUUGUGCCCUAGUAUGUGGUCAAUCCUUCAGAAUAUUCCAUGUGCAAUUGAAAUGAAUGUAUAUUCUGAUUUUUUGGGAUGUAAUGUCAAUUAAGUCUAACUUUUCUAUUGUGUCAUUUAGGAUCUCUGUUGCCUUAUUGAUUUUCUGUCUAGAGGAUCUAUCUAUUGAUAUGAGUGGGGCAUUAAAAGUCUCCUCCUAUUAUUGUAUUCCCAUCAAUUUCUCCUUUUCUGUCUAUUAGUAUUUGUUGUAGAUAUCUGCAUUCUCCUAUAUUAGGGGCAUAUUCUAUUUUGGCUGGUAUGAAUAUUGCAACUCUUGCUUUCCUGUCUUUUCCAUGUAAGUUAUUUUUAAGGAAAAAAUAAGAGGAAGUUCCUAUUGUGUCUCAGCAGGUUAAGAACCCAACUAGUCUCCUUGAGGAUAUGGGCUUGCUCCCUGGCUUGGCUUGGUGGGUUAAGGAUAUGUCAUCGCUGUGAGUUGUGGUGUAAGUCGCAGAUGUGUCUCGGAUCUGUUCUUGCUGUGGCUGUGGUGUAGGCUGGCAUCUGCAGUUCUGACUCAGCCCCUAUCCUGUGAACUUCCAUAUGCUGUGUGCACAGACCUUAAAAUCAAAGAAAAAAAAAAAAAAAAGAGAGAAAGGUCCUGGGUUCUUGUAACAUGGGCAAAUGCCAUGUAACAUGUGGAUGCAUUAG